AUUGAACGCUGGCGGCAUGCCUAACACAUGCAAGUCGAGCGGAGCGGCUGACGGGUGCGUAAUGCCUAGGAAUCUGCCUGUUAGUGGGGGAUAACGUCCGGAACCGGGCGCUAAUACCGCAUACUAUCAGAUGAGCCUAGGUGGGAUUAGCUAGUUGGUGGGGUAAAGGCCUACCAAGGCGACGAUCCGUAACUGGUCUGAGAGGAUGAUCAGUCACACUGGAACUGAGAGACGGUCCAGAAACCUACGGGAGGCAGCAGUGGGGAAGAUUGGACAAUGGGCGAAAGCCUGAUCCAGCCAUGCCGCGUGGGUGAAGAAGGUCUUCGGAUUGUAAAGCACUAUAAGUUGGGAGGCGUUACCAACAGAAUAAGCACCGGCUAACUUCGUGCCAGCAGCCGCGGUAAUAC
rnacentral:rRNA from 1 species